rnacentral:misc_RNA from 1 species
AACGCACAUUGCGCCCCUUGGUACUCCAUGGGGCAUGCCUGUUCGAGCGUCAUUUGUACCUUCAAGCCCUAGCUUGGUGAUGGGUGUUUUGUCUUUUUGCAAAAAGACUCGCCUUAAACAAAUUGGCAGCCGACCUUUGCGGAUCGAGAGCGCAGCACAUUUUGCAUUCUCCGCCACAAUCGUCAGCAUCCAUAAAGAACACAUCUUCUUUUGACCUCGGAUCAGGUAGGGAUACCCGCUGAACUUAA